AAGAUAUUACACUGUUAUCACUCUGAAUCCUACCAAUCGGAGCUCUAUCGCAUCAUUUACGCUUGGGUGGUUGGGGUGCGUUUGACUCAUUAGUGAGAUGCACAAGAGCACGAGGGGACAGAAACACUCAUAGUGGUGCAUUUGUACAGGCUUUCACAUCCCACAUGACCAUCGUCCGAAGGAGGCCUGAAAGAAAACAUCUGUGCGAUCAAGUCUGCCACAAUGCAUCACGUUCUAUCUGCAGGCUUGGUCGGAAGAAGCGGUGGGCCCUCGACCAGGAAGACUCCUCCUAGCCUGGACCCUGUGCUCUCAGCUCAAUCGACACUGACAGAUCCCUGGCCUAGGGGUGCCAACUGGCAAAGGCAGAGAGGGAACAAGAGAGAGAUGGACGGAGAAAGAGCACGAGGGAGAGUGUCACAAUCGCUCUGACCACUGACCGCAGAGCUGAAUGCUGCCCUAAUGCUCGCUCCCAAAGGUGCCUCAGUACUUCAGUUGCCCCAUUUGACUGUCCUCAGCAUGUCCCCCCUCUUCAGUUGGCAAUGUUUGGGUGUUCCGUAUGAAAUCUAAUUGAGAUGUAGAUGUGCUAAGUCAAUAUUUAUGCUAUGAAUGAUCAGAAAGUCAAUAUAAAAUAUAUUAUUAAACUAAUACCUUCCAAGACGUUGAUUAGGUUAAAGUUGAGCAGAUUUGGAUUUGUGGAGCAAUUGGUUGUUGAUCAUCACUUGCAGUCAACAUCACUCAUUUCAGUAUUUUAAUUUCAAACUACUGGUUUUCUCACAUGGACAGUUGUUGUCAGUUAUGAUCUUUUGCCAAAUGUCUACAAAGUGGAACAAAUGUUUAAUAUGUUGAGCUACAGAUAGGAACAAUGCAAACACCACCUACCCUCUGAUUGGGUGA